rnacentral:rRNA from 1 species
GACGAACGCUGGCGGCGUGCUUAACACAUGCAAGUCGAACGGUAAGGCCCUUCGGGGUACACGAGUGGCGAACGGGUGAGUAACACGUGGGUGAUCUGCCCUGCACUUCGGGAUAAGCCUGGGAAACUGGGUCUAAUACCGGAUAGGACCACUGCCUGCAUGGGUGGUGGUGGAAAGCUUUUGCGGUGUGGGAUGGGCCCGCGGCCUAUCAGCUGGUUGGUGGGGUGAUGGCCUACCAAGGCGACGACGGGUAGCCGGCCUGAGAGGGUGACCGGCCACACUGGGACUGAGAUACGGCUCAGACUCCUACGGGAGGCAGCAGUGGGGAAUAUUGCACAAUGGGCGCAAGCCUGAUGCAGCGACGCCGCGUGAGGGAUGACGGCCUUCGGGUUGUAAACCUCUUUCAGCACCGACGAAGCGCAAGUGACGGUAGGUGCAGAAGAAGGACCGGCCAACUACGUGCCAGCAGCCGCCGUAA